rnacentral:antisense_RNA from 1 species
AUAAAGUGAGUGCUGACAACAUCUGGCAUACUAGAAUUGAUCUACUGGGCAUUGCAGCCUAGUGGCUAAAAGUCCUGCCACUUACUAACCAUGGGACCUUGGACAUGUUCUUCAACUGCUGUGUGUUAUGAGGAUUAAAUGAUUUAAUCCAUAAAAAAUGCUUGAAGAAUGCCAACAUGCACAAUGUUGCUCCAACAGCCAAGUUAUGAUCUUGGAAGAGUUUGCUGUCCAGUGACUUCCUGUUGGCAUUCAAGGUUGGCAUAGAACGCUACCUGGCACAUGGGUUACUAGCCAUCUAAAACCAAAAAUCAGGACAUAUUUAUAUCUUAUUGCUAUGUCCAAAGGUUGAUUUUUCUUCACUUGUGAGCAUCCUCUGUUUGGCAUUUCCACAUGUAAUAAGUUAAGAACUGAUUUGAGACGAUAGCCCAAAAAUGCAAUUGUAUAAAUCCAAAUAAAAAAUUUAAAGAAUCAUCCCAA